rnacentral:rRNA from 1 species
UACGGAGGGUGCGAGCGUUGUCCGGAAUCACUGGGCGUAAAGGGCGCGUAGGCGGCGCGGGAAGUCAUCGGUGAAAGCUCAGGGCUCAACUCUGAGUCGGCCGGUGAUACUCUCGUGCUUGAGCACUGUAGAGGCAGGUGGAAUUCCGGGUGUAGCGGUGGAAUGCGUAGAGAUCCGGAAGAACACCGGUGGCGAAGGCGGCCUGCUGGGCAGGAGCUGACGCUGAUGCGCGACAGCGUGGGGAGCAAACAGG